CUCGGUUUUCUUUUUCUUAUUUCUUGGAUUUUUUUACCGACUGCCCUUUUCCGUGCUUUUUCUUUUGAAUCAUCGAUUGUUCGAUUUUUCUUUCUUUUUCUCGAUUCCUUAAUUUUUCUUUUCUUUUGUUUUUGCACUUUCUAGGGCUUUGAGAGCUUUUGGGUUUUUUACCCCAAACUUAGCUUUUUAACAUAGUUGGAAUGUAUUCUCAUGACUCUGAACAGGGUGAGGAAGUGUUUUUGGCCAAUGGUUA
rnacentral:lncRNA from 1 species